ACAGAGGGGGCAAGCGUUGCUCGGAAUUACUGGGCGUAAAGGGCGCGUAGGCGGGAUGGCAAGUCGGUCGUGAAAUCCCUCGGCUCAACCGAGGAACGUCGAUCGAUACUGCUGUUCUUGAGGAUUGCAGAGGAGACUGGAAUUCCCGGUGUGGCGGUGAAAUGCGUAGAUAUCUGGAGGAACACCGGUGGCGAAGGCGGCAUCCUGGACCGGCAUUGGCGCUGAGGCGCGAAAGCCAGGGGAGCAAACGGGA
rnacentral:rRNA from 1 species